GAACUGAAGAGUUUGAUCAUGGCUCAGAUUGAACGCUGGCGGCAGGCCUAACACAUGCAAGUCGAGCGGUAGAGAGGUGCUUGCACCUCUUGAGAGCGGCGGACGGGUGAGUAAUGCCUAGGAAUCUGCCUGGUAGUGGGGGAUAACGCUCGGAAACGGACGCUAAUACCGCAUACGUCC
rnacentral:rRNA from 1 species